rnacentral:tRNA from 1 species
UCCCUGGUGGCUCAGACGGUAAAGUGUCUGCCUAUGAUGCAGGAGACCCGGGUUCGAUCCCUGGGUGGGGAA